GCGUAUUGAUUAUAUUACAAUUUAAAUACGCCAACGCUGGCUUCGAACCAGGUGGUCGGGGGUUCGAAUCCCUCCGGGCGCACCA
rnacentral:tRNA from 1 species